AUUAAAGUGGCAGAAAAUAUGCCAGGAAUUUAAGCUUCCUUUAUGAUUUAUUCCUUUAAUA
rnacentral:tRNA from 1 species